AACGAAGCUGAUGGCGUUUAGUCGACUAAACACGAACAUCCCUCAUAUUUUAAACAACGAUAGAUUCAAGAUUUCUCUCCAUUUAUACAACUAGAAAAGAAAAUUCGCAGGAAAUGCUACAUAUUCUGGUAGCAGUUCAAACCCUAGUCAGGCCAUCAGACCAGUUCAGUCAGAGAGAAGAGAGAGGACAGGCAGCUGAGGGAAGAGGCUAGAAGACAAAGAAGUGAGGAGAGGUGGAGUAAUGCAGGAAAUGUUGAUGAGUGAAAGACGAAGGUUACAGAGUUGAAAUAAAACAAAAAAUCAGUCAGAGGAUGACGGUUUCUAUCUACACUUAACUCAUUCCGGUGCAGAGUGUCAUGUUUUUUUUCAUACAUCAAUAUACAGCUCUUUAUACUAAUUAUAAAUAAAUUAGUCAAGGAGAAAGGCACACAGCUGCCUAUCAUCUUCCUUUCACUUUUCUCGACCACUGCUCACAUACUUUGUUCCUUUUGCAGCAUUUACGAUGUUUUCCAUUUAUUUCUUUGAAGCAAAUCCUCCUGACACGCUUCCUUUUGUAUCAAAACUCUGUAUUGAUUGAUUCUUUAAAUAUACCCAGAGCUGAAUCCAGCUUCACUCUGAUUCAAUGAAA